GAUGAAGAACGUAGCGAAAUGCGAUACUUGGUGUGAAUUGCAGAAUCCCGUGAACCAUCGAGUCUUUGAACGCAAGUUGCGCCCGAAGCCAUCAGGUUGAGGGCACGUCUGCCUGGGCGUCACAUAUCGUUGCCCAAUGCCUAUUGCAGUGCAAUAGGAAUUUCUAGGGCGAAUGAUGGCUUCCCGUGAGCGUUGUUGCCUCGCGGUUGGUUGAAAAUCGAGUCCUUGGUAGGGUGUGCCAUGGUAGAUGGUGGUCGAGUUAGAACGAUACCGAUCAUGUGCAUGCUCCCCAAAAUAUGGCCUCUAUGACCCACACGCGUCUUUUGACGCUCAUGACGAGACCUCAGGUCAGGCGGGGCCACCCGCUGAAUUUAAGCAUAUCAAUAAGCGGAGGA
rnacentral:misc_RNA from 1 species